rnacentral:snoRNA from 1 species
GCGUGCCGAUGAUGAUUAAAGAGCUAAGAAUGGUGAAUUCGAUGAAUGUGCUUCCGUGCCGCUGGGUGCGCAGCUGUUGUGAUAUACAUUCUUACGCAGAGGCACGC